CUUACAAAUGUAUCACAAGAUGUCAUUGAUGUACUUAUGAUAUCAGAUGACGAACAGGAGGAAUUUGAAGGCUUUUAAAGGGAAACUGUCAUGCCAGCAAAACCUGUAAAAAUACAGUGGCUUGCAGUUAUGAUGGGUGUUGCUAACUCGCCAGGGACUUGCUCUCUCUCUAUUGUUUGCUAUCUUCCUCCUAUCAUCAUCAGUUCCAGUUUGGUUGACAGCUUAGAAAACAAACAGCAUGGCAGCUCCCAUGGGUUUAUUGUCUUAUUCUUCCUUUCAGCUUUAGAGUGAAUUAGGAAAAGUUU